CUGGCGGCGUGCUUACACAUGCAAGUCGAGCGAUGAAGUUUCUUCGGAAAUGGAUUAGCGGCGAACGGGUGAGGAACACGUGAAGAAUCUGCCCUCCACUUUGGGAUAACACCGGGAAACCGGUGCUAAUACCGAAUAUUGAAACAUAAGUGGCAUCACUGAGUUUUGAAAGAAUUUCGGUGGAGGAUGACUUCGCGGCCUAUCAGCUAGUUGGUGAGGUAAUGGCUCACCAAGGCAACGACGGGUAGCCGGCCUGAGAGGGCGACCGGCCACACUGGGACUGAGACACGGCCCAGACCCCUACGGGAGGCAGCAGUGGGGAAUAUUGGGCAAUGGAGGAAACUCUGACCCAGCGACGCCGCGUGCGGGAUGAAGGCCUUCGGGUUGUAAACCGCUUUCAGUAGGGAAGAAGCGAAAGUGACGGUACCUACAAAAGAAGCACCGGCUAACUAUGUGCCAGCAGCCGCGGUAAUACAUAGGGUGCAAGCGUUGUCCGGAAUUAUUGGGCGUAAAGAGCUCGUAGGUCGUUUGUUACGUCGGAUGUGAAAACCUGAGGCUCAACCUCAGGCCUGCAUUCGAUACGGGCAAACUAGAGUUUGGUAGGGGAGACUGGAAUUCCUGGUGUAGCGGUGGAAUGCGCAGAUAUCAGGAGGAACACCAAUGGCGAAGGCAGGUCUCUGGGCCAAUACUGACACUGAGGAGCGAAAGUCUGGGGAGCGAACAGGAUUAGAUACCCCUGGUAGUCCAGACCGUAAACGGUGGGCACUAGUUGUGGGAACCUUCCACGGUUUCUGCGACGCAGCUAACGCAUUAAUG
rnacentral:rRNA from 1 species